rnacentral:misc_RNA from 1 species
CUGGGCUACGAGCGUCCGCGCUCACCCCCACCCUGUGCUUCGACCGAAACGCGCUCGGCGUCGUGGCCCCCCUCGGGGGGUCCAGCCGGACUACAACCCUGAACAACUGUGAAGCCUGAAGUUAAAAGCAAACAGUUA